rnacentral:rRNA from 1 species
UACGGGGGGAGCAAGCGUUGUUCGGAUUUACUGGGCGUAAAGGGCGCGUAGGCGGCCACCGCAAGUCGACUGUGAAAUCUCCGGGCUUAACCCGGAAAGGUCAGCCGAUACUGCGGGGCUAGAGUGCAGAAGGGGCAACUGGAAUUCUCGGUGUAGCGGUGAAAUGCGUAGAUAUCGAGAGGAACACCUGCGGCGAAGGCGGUUCUCUGGGCCUGUACUGACGCUGAGGAACGAAAGCGUGGGGAGCGAACAGG